GAUGAACGCUGGCGGCGUGCCUAAUUCAUGCAAGUCGAGCGAACAGACGAGGAGCUUGCUCCUCUGACGUUAGCGGCGGACGGGUGAGUAACACGUGGAUAACCUACCUAUAAGACUGGGAUAACUUCGGGAAACCGGAGCUAAUACCGGAUAAUAUAUUGAACCGCAUGGUUCAAUAGUGAAAGACGGUUUUGCUGUCACUUAUAGAUGGAUCCGCGCCGCAUUAGCUAGUUGGUAAGGUAACGGCUUACCAAGGCAACGAUGCGUAGCCGACCUGAGAGAGUGAUCGGCCACACUGGAACUGAGACACGGUCCAGACUCCUACGGGAGGCAGCAGUAGGGAAUCUUCCGCAAUGGGCGAAAGCCUGACGGAGCAACGCCGCGUGAGUGAUGAAGGUCUUCGGAUCGUAAAACUCUGUUAUUAGGGAAGAACAAAUGUGUAAGUAACUAUGCACGUCUUGACGGUACCUAAUCAGAAAGCCACGGCUAACUACGUG
rnacentral:rRNA from 1 species